rnacentral:rRNA from 1 species
GACGAACGCUGGCGGCGUGCCUAAUACAUGCAAGUUGAGCGCUGAAGGUUGGUACUUGUACCAACUGGAUGAGCAGCGAACGGGUGAGUAACGCGUGGGGAAUCUGCCUUUGAGCGGGGGACAACAUUUGGAAACGAAUGCUAAUACCGCAUAAAAACUUUAAACACAAGUUUUAAGUUUGAAAGAUGCAAUUGCAUCACUCAAAGAUGAUCCCGCGUUGUAUUAGCUAGUUGGUGAGGUAAAGGCUCACCAAGGCGAUGAUACAUAGCCGACCUGAGAGGGUGAUCGGCCACAUUGGGACUGAGACACGGCCCAAACUCCUACGGGAGGCAGCAGUAGGGAAUCUUCGGCAAUGGACGAAAGUCUGACCGAGCAACGCCGCGUGAGUGAAGAAGGUUUUCGGAUCGUAAAACUCUGUUGGUAGAGAAGAACGUUGGUGAGAGUGGAAAGCUCAUCAAGUGACGGUAACUACCCAGAAAGGGACGGCUAACUGCGUG